rnacentral:rRNA from 1 species
GACGAACGCUGGCGGCGUGCCUAAUACAUGCAAGUCGAACGCAGUGGGGACGGGUGAGUAACACCUGGGUAACCUCCCAUCAGAGGGGAUAACACUUGGAAACAGGUGCUAAACCGAUACUGAUGGAUGGACCCGCGGUGCAUUAGCCAGUUGGUGAGGUAACGGCUCACCAAGGCCACGAUGCAUAGCCGACCUGAGAGGGUGAUCGGCCACACUGGGACUGUGACACGGCCCAGACUCCUACGGGAGGCAGAAGUAGGUAAUCUUCGACAAUGGACGAAAGUCUGACCGAGCAACGCCGCGUGAGUGAAGAAGGUUUUCGGGUCGUAAAGCUCUGUUGUUAGAGAAGCGGUAUUUAACCAGAAAGCCACGGCUAACUACGUGCCAGCAGCCGCGGGAAUUC